AUAUUUCCGAUUUAGUCCAGGUUAAGGCUCAUCUGUUGCUCUUGAGAUGUGGUGACUCCUAUGAUACUCUAAAAUGCAGGAAACUUGACCGCAUAAUUCAUGGUAGCAUGGGACUGCGCUCAAGUUUCCCUUUA
rnacentral:snRNA from 1 species